GCCAGAUCACAUUGAAACAACGAUUCUCAUAUGAUCACUGAAAGUUAAGCAACAUUGAGCCUGGUCAGUACCUGGAUGUGUGACCACUAGGGAAUACCAGGUGCUA